GGCCUGGUGGUGUAGCUGGUAGUGCGCUGCCUAAUACGAUCCUCGUAUGGCGGAGGGUCCUUGUUCGACUCAAGGUCAGGCCU